rnacentral:lncRNA from 1 species
CUCAGAUGCAGUGCAAGAGGGGCAUAUGCCUCGGAGACUAUGUUCCCCAAGCAGCUUUGUGAGCCUUGGGAGACCAGCUCAGGAUGAAGCCUUGUCUUCUGUUAUCCAUUGCUGCCUAUCUAAAUGUGAAGAAUAAAAAGUUCAGAAGCCAUUUGUAUUCAAAUAGAAUGCAAUUAAAAAGUCCCAGGCAAGCAUUAUAAGCUCAUAAACAAGAGAGCUAGCAAGAAGAAAAAAAUCAAGAAGCAAAUCUUGAAGCAAGUUAUAACCUGCCAGAUGUGACAAAGGUGAUAGAAAAUCAGAAAAGAACAAAAAAAGUUAUGACCGUUAAUUAGCAUAUGGAAAAAGAUAAUCAGAGGCCCCCAAGGAAGCUGGAUUAUUAAAAAUGCGACCUCCAUUUCAACAAAGAAAUUCCAGGCAGUGACACGGUUUUGAAUUUAUAAUGAGGAUUGAUGAAUAGAAGAGAAUUGGAUAUUUCAAGAAACAAAGAAAUACAUGAGUUGAAGCUACAGUUAACAAAAAAAAGGUACUGGAGGAAAAGUUUUCUACCAAAGACAGAAUAUAUCACUCUACUCUUAUACUCUUCUUUGUGUUUCUACAACCACUUCGAUUCUUCUUUUCUGUAUUGUCAGAUCCCUGCUAAAUGUUUCUCCAGAAGGUGCUGGUUUUUUCUGGUCAUCGGGGCACUGCCAUCUUCUGUAAUCGCACCUCUUCGAAAAAUAUACUAUUUUUACCAAGAGUAAAAAUAGUAUUCACUUAUCCAUGGGGAAUACAUUCCAAGAUCCCCAUUGAAUGCCUGAAACUGUAGAUAGUGCAGAACCCUAUAUAUACCAUGUUUUUUU